AAUAGAUACCCGGGUAGUCCACGCCGUAAACGAUGAGUGCUAAGUGUUAGAGGGUUUCCGCCCUUUAGUGCUGCAGCUAACGCAUUAAGCACUCCGCCUGGGGAGUACGGCCGCAAGGCUGAAACUCAAAGGAAUUGACGGGGGCCCGCACAAGCGGUGGAGCAUGUGGUUUAAUUCGAAGCAACGCGAAGAACCUUACCAGGUCUUGACAUCCUCUGCUAACCCUAGAGAUAGGGCGUUCCCCUUCGGGGGACAGAGUGACAGGUGGUGCAUGGUUGUCGUCAGCUCGUGUCGUGAGAUGUUGGGUUAAGUCCCGCAACGAGCGCAACCCUUGAUCUUAGUUGCCAGCAUUUAGUUGGGCACUCUAAGGUGACUGCCGGUGACAAACCGGAGGAAGGUGGGGAUGACGUCAAAUCAUCAUGCCCCUUAUGACCUGGGCUACACACGUGCUACAAUGGAUGGUACAAAGAGCUGCGAACCCGCGAGGGUAAGCCAAUCUCAUAAAGCCAUUCUCAGUUCGGA
rnacentral:rRNA from 1 species